UACAGAGGUCUCAAGCGUUGCUCGGAUUCAUUGGGCGUAAAGGGUGCGUAGGUGGCGCCGUAAGUCAGGUGUGAAAUUUCGGAGCUUAACUCCGAAACUGCAUUUGAUACUGCGGUGCUUGAGGACUGGAGAGGAGACUGGAAUUUACGGUGUAGCAGUGAAAUGCGUAGAGAUCGUAAGGAAGACCAGUGGCGAAGGCGGGUCUCUGGACAGUUCCUGACACUGAGGCACGAAGGCCAGGGGAGCAAACGGG
rnacentral:rRNA from 1 species